UCUGCUUCUGCAGAUCAUGGCCCAUGAAACCAGACUGGUGAAAGGAUGUUGUGUUACCAGAGACCUCUCAGCUCCUCUGCCUGGCUCAUUUUGGUGAUCUGGUUUGCAGAACCACCCCUGAAACUAUUCCUCCAGGGCAGCCAAGAGAGAAAAGAGCUGCCCUGAUCAGUUUCAGACCUGUCUCCAAAAUCUCAAGAUGUUUGGUUAAAGCGACAUUUCAGCCACUUUCCUUCAGCAAAAGUGACACUGAGCACAAUAGCAGAGGAACUGAGUGAGGGCUGUAUGUAGACAGGGUUACAUGGAAAAGUGAAACCUUGGAGGCAGGAAAGAAAGAGACAACAGGUUAUUACAGACCUCACUGCUGUCCUGAGUGAUUCUUCCUUCUCUCCAUAUAGUGAAUUAGCUCUUUGUAGAAGAAUUGAGUUCAAGUCUUAAGACAUAGUGAAUUACUGUUC